GAUAAGGAUACGGGAAGAACGCGCGAGUGCCUAUGAUAUCCUUGUUCGCGACAAAAUACCAGACAGGUGUCCAUUACGAUUCAAUAAUAAGAAGUAAUUCGAGUAAUGUUUGGACCGCAGUUUUGCACGUGGUUGGCUUGGCGCGUGCACAUGCUCUCCGUCGGUCGAGUCGAUUAGUCCCAUAACACACUCGUGCACAGGUAUAACGAUGGCGGCGUCGAGUGCUGACCGAGAUGGCUCGUUUAUUUUUACGCCGAAUGCCGAUCAUACGACACGCAAGCCGAGUGGUCCACGGACUGAAAACGAACGCGAGAGAUUACGAGAUGACGGAGAGUGACUGACUGCAGGGCGCGCGGGCGACACGCUUUACCGGUCUAUAAUAACACUGUUAUUGAUCGUUGGGUGUUGGCGUUCCGCUGAUCCGCGACAUCCGCGACUCGCUGACCGCACGAACGGUCUCGUUGGCUGUGGGUCGUCGUGAAAAACAGAUCGGAAGUCUACAGCCGGUGCGGCGGAG